rnacentral:rRNA from 1 species
AUUGAACGCUGGCGGCAGGCCUAACACAUGCAAGUCGAGCGGUAGCACAGGAGAGCUUGCUCUCUGGGUGACGAGCGGCGGACGGGUGAGUAAGGUCUGGGAAACUGCCUGAUGGAGGGGGAUAACUACUGGAACCGGUAGCUAAUACCGCAUAACGUCUCAAGACCAAAGAGGGGGACCUUCGGGCCUCUUGCCAUCAGAUGUGCCCAGAUGGGAUUAGCUAGUAGGUGGGGUAACGGCUCACCUAGGCGACGAUCCCUAGCUGGUCGGAGAGGAUGACCAGCCACACUGGAACUGAGACACGGUCCAGACUCCUACGGGAGGCAGCAGUGGGGAAUAUUGCACAAUGGGCGCAAGCCUGAUGCAGCCAUGCCGCGUGUAUGAAGAAGGCCUUCGGGUUGUAAAGUACUUUCAGCGGGGAGGAAGGUGUUGAGGUUAAUAACCUCAGCAAUUGACGUUACCCGCAGAAGAAGCACCGGCUAACUCCGUGCCAGCCGCCGCCGUAA